rnacentral:lncRNA from 10 species
AUAAAGUAAGCUAGGAAAAAAUAAAAUGUUAUUAAGAAAAUCAUGAGAAGAUAAAAUAUAUUUACUAUUCAUUAAGUGGAAGUGAAUCAUUAUAAAGGUUUUCAUCUUCAUGUUUUCACUUUGGACAGACUGAGGGGGAGGAGGGAAAGGAGGAGUUGGUCUUGCUGUCUCAGGCAUGGCAGAGUAGAAGGGGUGGAGGAGGCAGGAGAGGCUGGCAAACUCAGUGUAACUUUACAGAACUCAUUGUAAUUUCUGUCUAACUUUUGUGCAUACAGUACUAAUCCUUUCCCCACUGUUUGCUUUACUUUCAGCGUCUGUGUCAUGUAAGGGACCAUGUCAUAAAAGAAGUAAAAAGCAGUCUUGAAGAAUCGGAACAAUUCUGCUAGAUUCUCUAAUGUCAGUUUGUUUCCUGGUACUGCUGCUUCUAAUUCUUCUUCUCAUCAUCUGGCACUGGCUCAAAAGCACGCCACCCAUCUCCAUCAAGUCAUCUUCUGUUAAUUCCUCUGGAGUGGUGUCUAUUAGCUCUUAAAUUUUUUCAAGAUCCAAAUCUUGAGUCCCUUCCCCCUCUACCUUUUUUUUUUUUUUUUUGCCAUAUCCACAAUUUCUUUCAUGAUUUCCUUGAUUGACUUUAUUGUAAAUUAGAUGUUUUAGAAUGCAAAACAUCUGGACACAGUUUUCCCUAGGAGGAAUUUAUUAUUUUGGGCUUAAUGACUUUCAUGGCUUUUUCUAUAACAGCAAUGGCAUUUUUAAUGGUGUAAUUCUCCCAGACUUUUAUUAUGUUUUCUCUGUGAGUGUUCCUUUUUAUAGCAUUGAGAAUCUUUUCCAUAGAGUAUCAUGCAUAAUGAGCUAAAAAGUCCUUACUACUUCCUGAUCUCAAGGCUGAACUAGAGACUUUGGGAAAAGUAGACCCCUUCGAAGUCUUCAGAGAUGAUCUCACGGGGUUCUGGGUGACCAGGGACAUUGUCUAAUAUCAAAAGAACUUUAAAAGGUAGUCCUUUGCUGGCAAAGUACUUCCAGACUUCAGAGACAAAGCAUCAAUAAAACCAAUCCAGACUAAAAAUUUCUUGUUGUCCAAGUCUUCUUGUACAACCAAAAGGCUAGCAGCUCGUAUUUAUCUUUUCUCUUCAAGGCUGGGGAAUUAGUAGCUUUUUAGAUGAGGGCAGUUCUGACCAUAAACCCAACUGCAUUUGCACAAAACAGUAGAGUUAGCCUAUCCUUUCCUUUGCUUUAAGUUGUCAUAUAAUGACUUUGCUUUUUCUCAAAUUAUGUUAAAAUAUAGAGGUGUGUCUUUUUGUGUGUGUGUGUGAGAUGGAGUCUCCCUCUGUCACCCAUGCUGGAGUGCAGUGGCGCCAUCUCUGUUCACUGCAACCUCUGCCUCCCGAUUCAAGCGAUUCCUCUGCCUCAGUCUCCCGACUAGCUGGGACUACAGGCAUGUGUCACCACACCUGGCUAAUUUUUUGUAUUUUUAGUAGAGAUGAGGUUUCACCGUGUUAGCCAGAAUGGUCUCGGUCUCCUGACCUCCUGAUCCACCCACCUCCGCCUCCCAAAGUGCUGGGAUUACAGGUGUGAGCCACCAUGCCCAGCCAGGUAUGCUAUAGCAAUUUUGGCCUCGUAUAAAAACUACAUUUUCAAAAGAAGAUGAGAUAAAAGGGUACUUUGCAAAAAGUGCAAGGUUUUCACAUCUGUUGGCAUAAAUGCAGCAAUGGCUUAAUAAAUUUUCUUUUCUUUUUUUUUUUUCAAUGGUUCUUACACUAGAUUAAUUUAUCUUGAAAUACUGGGCAACCGCAGCUGCAGACUUCAACAUACAUCACAUAUCAAACAAGGCUAUGCAGUUCAUCUGAGUUUUUUCUUCAAACUGUGGCAAAUCUCAAAAAAAAUUCCAGUAUACUUAUUGAAAAAAGUUUUCACAGAAGCAAACUUAUGCAGUUCAAACGUGAUUAUUCAAGGAUCAACUGUCAUUGCUAUAUUGUAUGGUUUAGGAAAUAAUAAUUUUAAAAGACUUUAAAAUAUUCUGUACAGACACAACAAUUUUUUGAGUAUUUUUGAUUCAUGGUUGGUUGAAUUUACAGAUGUGGAAUCCAUUGAUAUGGAUGGAUGAGCGUACUUCCUUUUCCUUUCUACCUCAAGGAAGAAUAUGUAUAUUUAUUGUUGGGAAACUUUUUAUCAUCUUAAUAUAUAGAAAGACUUUGGAGUUGGGUGCGGUGGCUCACACCUGUAAUCCCAG